ACACGUGGGCAACCUGCCUGUAAGACUGGGAUAACUUCGGGAAACCGGAGCUAAUACCGGAUAAUCCUUUCCACCACAUGGGGAAAAGCUGAAAGACGGCAUCUCGCUGUCACUUACAGAUGGGCCCGCGGCGCAUUAGCUAGUUGGUGAGGUAACGGCUCACCAAGGCAACGAUGCGUAGCCGACCUGAGAGGGUGAUCGGCCACACUGGGACUGAGACACG
rnacentral:rRNA from 1 species